AUCUUUCCUAGGAGCAUUUCUGAAUAGCUUCCUGAAUACAUGAAGAUUUUAAAACACUUAUUAGAUUAAAAAGUAUUUGUAAUUAAUUUAGAAGUUGUUUAAAACUAAAUGCUGUAUCAUUUUAAAAAUCAAUCAGGUAACUUUUAAAGUAAAGAUAAUCAUAAGAUUAACUCGAAGGGAGAUGCUCUUGUGUGUCCUAUGCAAAAUGCACUUAGAACUAAUUAUGAGUAAAUGAUAUAUACACACUCACAUAUACACAAAUGAUGUGUGUAAGGCAGAAUCUUUUUCUCUUCAAAUUUUCUGUUGAACCUAGAUACUUUAUUUCAUCAGCUUUACAACAUGUCAAAUGUAUAAUUUGUGGAAACUAACUUUAAGAAAAACCAGUAAAAACACUUAUUGUCUGUACUUUUAUGACAUUUAACUUCACAUUAAUCAAGUGAGUAUGAGAAAAUAAUGUAUCCAAUUUAAGACAUUGUCCUUUUCUCAGGCAAAUAGUCUUCAAAGUGUAACAGGAUUUUUUUUGUAUUAAGAAUAUGAAAUUCCCUUCAAUAAAUGAGUGGAUGCUAGGCUUCUUUAAUGAAACCAUGGUAUUGUUUUCUAAGUGGAUGAGUAGUUAAUUGCUAAUGACAUGUCUUUAUGCAAGAAGAAAAAAGAGAAAGGAAAGAACUGACUCAUUACUAAAUGAGUAAAAAGGCCUAGAAAUGAAUAUGAAGGAAAAUUUUACAUAUUUCAGAUGGAGUGAGAUACCAACUGAUAAACGAGAUACACAAGAAAGCUCCUGAAGGAGUUAGAAAAAGAAACAGGUUUCUUCUGAAAAGCAGGACCCAAGCAAGAGACUCAAUCAGGUGGUACAGCAGUCAUUCAUGUGACACAGAUCCACAGACCAGUUUCCUAAACCAGACAAAACUAGAUGCUCAUCUAUUCUAACUGUAAACGUAUUCAUAAUUUAUAGUCCUCAGAGUUCCUCAAUACUAGCAGUAUGUUGAAGCAACCAACAUAAAACAGGUAUGUAAACUCUCUUAUUAAAAGCAAACACAGGAGUUCCCAUCGUGGCGCAGUGGUUAACGAAUCCGACUAGGAACCAUGAGGUUGCGGGUUCGGUCCCUGCCCUUGCUCAGUGUUGAGAGGUGAUUAGGUCCUGAGAGUAGGCCCUAGUGAAUGGAAUCAGUGUCCUUAUAAAAGAGACCUGGCCUCAUAGAGGUCCCUCACCCCUCAGUCCAUGUGAGGACACAAGAAAGCUGCCAACUAUCAACCAUGAAGCAAGUCCUCACCAGACACCAAAUCUGGAAGCAGCCUCUAGAACUAUGACCCUGUACUUUCAGCCUUUAAAAAUAUGAGAAAAAGUAUCUGCUGUUUAUAUGCUGCUCAGUGGUCUUUUGUUGCAGCAGCCCAAAGAGACUAAGACAUAAAGCAAUUUUUAAAACUGAUCUUAAGAAAUGUUUUCUUUAAAUAAUAUUUGAUAACAACCAAAGAACACAUGUAACUGAUAGCUAAGAAUAAAGUAAACUAUAAAGCAAUCCAUGCGCUUUUUUCCCUAAUCUCACCUCAUUGUCUACUCUUGGAAAAAUAAACUACAUGGGGAAUAAUUUUAUUAUUCUUUUAUUUGAUUUUAUAGUUUUACCACAUGUAGGAUCUUCAUAUAACUGUCAUACAAUAAUGUAAUAUUUUAUAAUGUUAUUACAAAAUAAAAUAAUAAAUAAUAUAUUGCAUAGUUUGGCUUUUCAAAAAUGGUAUAUUUUGGGUAGAAAUGGACAUUUGGGUUGUUUCCAAUUUUUUCUGAUUAUUGGAUACAACUUAAGGAUUUUUUUUUAAAAUAGUUUCGAUUAUAGCAAAAAUUCUUCUGUUAUGUUUAUCAACUUCCAUGUGCUGUGGUCUUGUCCCUAUUCUCACUUUCUCCCUUAAGAAAACCUCCUAAAAGUCUAAAAAUAAGAACGGCAAAUGUGUUUACAUUAUUCAAAAAUUAAAAAUAUAUUUAGAAAUAAUGACCAAUAGAUCUACAACUAGUCAAACAUAUUUGAAGUGUUAGUAAUAUUAUCGAAAACUUCAUUUGAGCCUUUCAAAAAUAAUGAUUCUUCCCAUUCCAAAGAUGGUGCUGGGCACAUAGUAAGAAGUGACCAUUGCAGCCCAAACAACUGCAUGGUCCUACCAAAACCAGUGGUUCUCCAUGUUUGGGAAAAAUGGACCUUCACCACUCCUCUGCCGGGCCUCCACAAGCAGGCCCUCCAGAAGACACACUUGAUACGUGACUGAGUGCUGGAAGGCAAGAGCAGCUGAUGUGUUUCCAGGGAAUGUGGACGAAAGGAAUAUAACAGCAAUUCAAGCAGCAAUUAUAUUUUUUGUUAUUAUUAUUAUUUUUAAUAGUUAUUUCCCCAAUACAAUUUUUUUUCUACUGUACAGCAUGGUGACCCAGUUAUACAUACAUGUAUACAUUCUAAUUUCUCACAUUAUCAUGCUCCAUAAGUGACUAGACAUAGUUCCCAGUGCUACACAGUAGGAUCUCAAAAGCAGCAAUUAUAUUAACACACCAGCAACAUUAGAAGAACAAAGAAUCAAUCCUACAAACUAUACUUUUCCUCAAAAUUCUAUUCAAGCCCAAAAUCCAAAAUUAAAAAGGAAAUUCCUCUUCUAUAAGCAAAUCCUGCCUCUCUUUUACAACUCCAAUGUCUGCUUUUAAAAGGAGAAACCUAGUACUCACACUCCCAAUGCCAUGACCUUAAUAUAAUAAUUAUAAUGCAAUAAUUAUUGAUGGCAUUUGUAGAUAUAAUAGCCCUAAGUACAGUACAUUCUAACUAGUUAGCAAUUACAACAGUGGGUAUUUAGAACACAACUUUUAUUUCAAAUUUUAGAUGAAAAUGAGUGGAUAAAAAACCAGAAUUCCCUCAAAAGAGAAAAAUUAACCCUUAUUAUUCAUUUGGUAGUCUGUAGUAAGAAAAUCAACAUUUCCCAACCUAUCAAAGAGUAAAAAUUUUUUUAGCACAGUAAUAACUUAAAUUCUUAAAUUAAGUACACACUCACACAAACCCUCUGAGAUAGAUCCUAUACUUCUACAAACAGUUAUAAUAAUUCUUUUUGCUACAUUUCUGUGAAAUAAAUAUAUUUUCCUUUUUAAUGUAGUCAGAAAUAUUUUAAUAUUUUUUAAAAUUAUAAAUAAACAAAUAAUUUUCGUGAAAGAAAAACAUGUCAAACAGAAAACCUACAUUCUCAUGACAGAUUUAGUUAGAAGGACCUUGAUUUAAACCUAUUGUUCAGGUUUAAAUAAAAGACAAGUUAGAAAUCUACAAUAAAGAAUAUGUCAAUACACCAUGUUUUAGUUAAAGAGAACUAACUAAAGAGAAACUUUUUUCGAAUACUUUGGAAAAGAUAAUUGUUUUCAAUUUCAUGUCAUAUAUAAAUAUAAACAAAGCAGAUAAUGAAUAAAAUAAAAAUACAUAUGCAAUUUAAAGUCACCAUAGUUAUCUCUGUGCAGUAACAGUAAGCUAGAAUUUUCAUUUAGAACUUUCUGUAAUUUCCAAAUAUUCUAUAAUUAAUGUCUUACUUAAUAAUCUAAAAAAUAUAAUAAGGGCAAAUUAAUUUUUCUUGAUAGCCCUGCCAACAUUCUCAUGCUAUUUAAGAAGAAAAGCAUCCAAACAAGCUACAAAAUUCAUCAUAUUGACUAUAAAGGUGGAGAUCCAUCGAGUUCAUAGAAAUCUUGGACUAUCACAAAGAAAAACUAAUACUGGACCAUGGUCAGGUCAGAGGUCGUCCAUUCCCACAUUCAGUACGUGCCACUUCAUGAUGCUAACCCUGGAAAUACAAUGAUGAGUGAAAAUAUCCCAAACCCCAGGGAUCUCAGAGUCCCCUAAGGGACGGGAGAACCUAAUAACUGGGGGAACAGUUCCCCAAGAAGGUGACAAAUAAAAGAGAAGAUUUUUUUUGGAGGAAUAGGAGUCCAUUAACAAAUCUUCAGUGUCAACCUACUGCCUGAAGGUCAAGAAAAUCAGUGAUUCCAGCCAGAGGGUAAACACUAAACUGUAGAAUACAAAAUAAGUGGAGAGUUAAAAUUGGAAUCAGCAAAUCAAAGGGCCCAGGACAACAAUGAACUAACUGCUUAUGCCGUGCACUGUAAUAAUGUACCGUAUAGGACUGACUUGAUUCUGAUUCUGAAUACUGAUCUUGAGACAGGCAAAUGAUUUAAUAUCAUCCUUUCCAAAGGUGAAAAAAUACCACCAAACUUACACCCCAAUUAAACAUAUCACAAUUUUAAAAAUGUUAAAACAUGAAAAAGCAUGUGUCUUAUAAGCAGAAAGCAGGUAACAAAUCAUAAUAUACCUAUUCUUUUAGAGGCAACGGACACAAUAUACAAACAUCUAAGAAAACAAAAUGUUCCAGAUAAAGGCAGAGGAAUGUAGUAAAAUUUCUUUCACAACAUUUUAGUUUGCAAGAGGUUAUUUCCAUUAAAAAUACCUGUAGGAAUACCAAUUAGGGAACUUCACAGAUCUUAAAACAGUGACAACUCAUUAGGAUUUUAUCACUACUUAUCCUAAAAGGGAAUAUUAUACACUUCAAAUAAACUUACAAUGGUCCUUAUCUGAUUUAGUAAUUUAAAAACUCACGGAGACUCUUUUAUAAAUAUGAAAGCUUCACAUUAUCAUCAUAUUAUCUUUUAUCUAUCUAAAAAAGGAACAAAAACACUGAACAAGAAUUGUGAUAUCUUAUACACACACAGAGCCACACAUACACACGCACACAGAUCUGAUAUGACAGGGUAAAUCCUGACCAACCACAUUCUUGCCCCUUCCAGAUGAGUAGCAAAAAGAAAAGAAAAUCGGUGCUCCCAUUUUUUAAAAUAUAUUUUUUCUAUGUGGUCAUAUCACUUCCACAAUUCCAGGAACUCUAUAAGGAAGGUUCUUAAAUAUACUGAAGCCUGAAUCUCUCUCUCAAGCUCUAUAAACACGGAUUUCCAGCUCCCUACUACUUAUUAGCAGCUCACUAAUCCAUGGUCAUCUUAAAUCUAGCACAACUAAAACUAAACGUGUCAUCUUCCCUCCUGCACUUAAUUCCUCGUCCCUGCAAUGUGUCCCCUCUCCAGCGGUCUCUGUCCUGGUUAACAGAGCACCACUUCCUAGCUAGUCAUCCACAUUCCAAAUCUAAAGCCAUCCUUCACCACCACAAGUCACAGUAAAGUCACCUUGCCUUCCCACAGUUCUUGAAUCCAUCCACUUUUAUGCACCCAUCCUUUUUUCCUUACUUAAUGCUGAUUUUUUGUAGCUAUAUUCUACAAUAAAGAAACAAAAGAAAAAAUAUUUAAAUACACUAUCACUAUCUGAAAUGAUAUAAAAGAGUCUAAAGGUACUUCUCAUUUUUGAGUUCUGAUCUUACUUUAUACAAAAUGGCAAAGAGCAGAGUCGAGUGUUUUAUUAACAAAUACUCAAAGCAAAACAAAGCAUGACUUAGGCUAUCUCUGAAAAACAUUAGAUAGAACUAAAGAGGAAAACAAUGGCAGGCAAAAUCAGCAAUUUUAUGUGUCUCAACCUAAUUAGGGUUCUGGUCUCAUCUCUCUUUAAUUUUCACUAUACUUUUAAGCACAAGUAUCUAACAGUUCUUUCAGACUGUUAAUUUCUAAACAGUGUUCUCUUUUUACAUUUAGGAAAGUAUGUCCUCUUAAAUAUUACAGUAAGGGGGGAAGAUAGUGUUCCUUAUGCUGUAGGUCUCUCAUCAAAAACAUGUUCUCUACUAAUAUUCCCAUUUCUCAUUCUAACUAUUUUGUCUUCCAACUUUCUUCUCUGCUAAAAUAACUACAGAGCAUAGGAAAGGUAAGGAAUCAAAAGCUUUGAUUACCGUACUUUUCUAAUGAACUAAAAAUAUUAAUAACUAAAGAAUUGUCACAGAAUGUAAUUUAUAAUGAAAAAGCACUUCAGGAAUUCUUGUAGUAGUUAACUCUA
rnacentral:lncRNA from 1 species